rnacentral:rRNA from 1 species
CAGCCGCCACGGUAAUACGUAGGUGGCAAGCGUUGUCCGGAAUUAUUGGGCGUAAAGGGCUCGCAGGCGGUUUCUUAAGUCCGAUGUGAAAGCCCCCGGCUCAACCGGGGAGGGUCAUUGGAAACUGGGAAACUUGAGUGCAGAAGAGGAGAGUGGAAUUCCACGUGUAGCGGUGAAAUGCGUAGAGAUGUGGAGGAACACCAGUGGCGAAGGCGACUCUCUGGUCUGUAACUGACGCUGAGGAGCGAAAGCGUGGGGAGCGAACAGGAUUAGAUACCCCUGUAGUCCCUGUCUCUUAUAC